GUCCCUGUAGCGCAAUGGAUACCGCGUCGGACUUCUAAUCCAUAGGUCGUGGGUUCGAAUCCCACCUGGGAUG
rnacentral:tRNA from 1 species